UGUCGAUGCACCUAUGCCAGCAGAGGCCCUGCAGGAGCCUCCUAACCAUCUGUAGUAGAGGCCUCGAGAUCAAAGUACACCAGGACCAAAAGUGGAGUGAUUUGUUUGGGUGGACUGAAAAAGGGCAAGCAUGAACGCACGCUGUCCUCACAAGAACAUGAUCUGGAAUUGCAGAGGAAAAGCUCUGAAUUGCCUAGAGAGCGUCUCUAACAAGCAAUGCGGUCAGGUCUUGUGUGAACUCUUGAAGGGUACUCUGAGAAAUGCUGUUCCUUCUUAGGAUGAGUGUCCUACAGACCACUGUUCCUCAGUUGCCCUUUAGAUUGCAAAGGAUUCUAGGAGAUGAAAGAAGUCUCUUAUUGUUAUCAAGAGCAGUUGAUCCAAAGCAACCUAACAUGAUGACGGAACUCAAAAUACUCUUUGCCAUCUCCUUUCUUGGAGAGGAAAACGUAUAAGAGAGAUACUGAAAUUGAAUAUUUGGGGCCAGACUCUUCUCUGUGGUGCCCAGUGACAGGACAAGAGGCAACAGGCACAAACUGAAGCACAGGAAGUUCCAUCUGAACAUGAGGAAAAACUUCUUUGCUGUGAGGGUGACUGCGCCCUGGAAGAGGCUGCCAAGAGAGGUUGUGGAGUCUCCUUCCCUGGAGAUGUUCCAAACUUGCCUGGACAUGAUCCUGGGCAAUGUGUU